rnacentral:rRNA from 1 species
GAGUUUGAUCCUGGCUCAGGACGAACGCUGGCGGCGUGCCUAAUACAUGCAAGUCGAGCGAAUCUUAAAAGCUUGCUUUUAAGAUUAGCGGCGGACGGGUGAGUAACACGUGGGCAACCUGCCUGUAAGACUGGGAUAACUUCGGGAAACCGGAGCUAAUACCGGAUAAUCCUUUCCCUCACAUGAGGGAAAGCUGAAAGACGGUUUCGGCUGUCACUUACAGAUGGGCCCGCGGCGCAUUAGCUAGUUGGUGAGGUAAUGGCUCACCAAGGCAACGAUGCGUAGCCGACCUGAGAGGGUGAUCGGCCACACUGGGACUGAGACACGGCCCAGACUCCUACGGGAGGCAGCAGUAGGGAAUCUUCCGCAAUGGACGAAAGUCUGACGGAGCAACGCCGCGUGAGCGAUGAAGGCCUUCGGGUCGUAAAGCUCUGUUGUCAGGGAAGAACAAGUACCGGAGUAACUGCCGGUACCUUGACGGUACCUGACCAGAAAGCCACGGCUAACUACGUGCCAGCAGCCGCGGUAAUACGUAGGUGGCAAGCGUUGUCCGGAAUUAUUGGGCGUAAAGCGCGCGCAGGCGGUUCCUUAAGUCUGAUGUGAAAGCCCCCGGCUCAACCGGGGAGGGUCAUUGGAAACUGGGGAACUUGAGUGCAGAAGAGGAGAGCGGAAUUCCACGUGUAGCGGUGAAAUGCGUAGAGAUGUGGAGGAACACCAGUGGCGAAGGCGGCUCUCUGGUCUGUAACUGACGCUGAGGCGCGAAAGCGUGGGGAGCAAACAGGAUUAGAUACCCUGGUAGUCCACGCCGUAAACGAUGAGUGCUAAGUGUUAGAGGGUUUCCGCCCUUUAGUGCUGCAGCUAACGCAUUAAGCACUCCG